rnacentral:rRNA from 1 species
UACGUAGGGGCCUAGCGUUGUCCGGAUUUAUUGGGCGUAAAGAGCUCGUAGGCGGCUUGUCGCGUCGACUGUGAAAACCCGCGGCUUAACUGCGGGACUGCAGUCGAUACGGGCAGGCUAGAGUUCGGUAGGGGAGACUGGAAUUCCUGGUGUAGCGGUGAAAUGCGCAGAUAUCAGGAGGAACACCGGUGGCGAAGGCGGGUCUCUGGGCCGAUACUGACGCUGAGGAGCGAAAGCGUGGGGAGCGAACAGG